GACGAACGCUGGCGGCGUGCUUAACACAUGCAAGUCGAACGGUAAGGCCCUUCGGGGUACACGAGUGGCGAACGGGUGAGUAACACGUGGGUGAUCUGCCCUGCACUUCGGGAUAGGCCUGGGAAACUGGGUCUAAUACCGGAUAGGACCCUGGGAUGCAUGUCCUGGGGUGGAAAGCUUUUGCGGUGUGGGAUGGGCCCGCGGCCUAUCAGCUUGUUGGUGGGGUGAUGGCCUACUAAGGCGACGACGGGUAGCCGGCCUGGGAGGGUGACCGGCCACACUGGGAGUGAGAUACGGCCCAGACUCCUACGGGAGGCAGCAGUGGGGAAUAUUGCACAAUGGGCGCAAGCCUGAUGCAGCGACGCCGCGUGAGGGAUGACGGCCUUCGGGUUGUAAACCUCUUUCAGCACCGACGAAGCGCAAGUGACGGUAGGUGCAGAAGAAGGACCGGCCAACUACGUGCCAGCAGCCGCCGUAA
rnacentral:rRNA from 1 species